rnacentral:tRNA from 1 species
GCCGGCGUGGUGGAACUGGUAGACGCAGGGGACUCAAAAUCCCCCGAGGGCGACCUCAUGUCGGUUCAAUUCCGACCGCCGGCACCA